UCGACCCCCACGAUGGGGAAAGCCAGAGGAAAGCAGGUGUGGCCUUCUGCCCCGGAAUCCUCACCUCCUCUCAGACCACUUUCCACUAGAGCCAUCGCUGUGGUGAGCAGCCAGCGCUGGAGGAGCAGGACCACGCCUGCGGCCCACGCCGGUUUCCCAUCUGCCCUCUGGGCUCUACACCCGCGCAUGCGCAGCCUGUGAAGGUCCGGCUGUUGGCCCUGAGGGGCGUUUCCUGAGUCCCGGGGAGAUGGGUUGGAGCUUAAACGCCCGGAGUUCUACGGCUCUGUCGUUGAUGAUCUCAUCACUGUGUCUGUGACUUUCAAACCAGAGAUUCUGCUGUGGGACUUCUCUCUCGACAAGAUGCUGUUUCAAAAUUGAUUAGUUCUCCAACCCGCCCACUGAAAUCAUCCAACCUAUUGAAGAAGCAGAAUGGGAUGUGGAUUAUAGGGUUUCAGAUAACACCAAGUCCCUUGUGAAAGGCACUGAUGAUACAAAAAUGACACAGACAAAAAUCUCUGCACCCAUGGAACUUACAUUCUCUUAGAGGAGACACGGUAAGCAAGAGAUUCUGAUUCAGGAAGUUCCAUUUGUGGCCCAGGAAUCUAAUCUUUAUUUACCACCUUCCAACCAACACCAUUUCUGACACAGGUAGUGUAUGUGUUCUAUCCUGAUAACCACUGAUCUCUAUAGUCUUUGCCUCACAAUGCCAGAGUUCUUUAGGUUCCUUCCAAUCCUGUGACUCUAUAAUGUAUUUUUUAAAGGCAUCACCCAUCAAAACAAGCUCAGAGGCCUUAUAACUUAUCCAUAAUAUUUGAUAAUUAUUAAAAGAUGCAUUGUUGCUAAACUAGCCAGGCUUUCUGCUGAUUUGGGG